UCUCUAUCAUUUCUCGCGAAAACUCUGGAGUACAUAGUCAAAAUCCUUCCCCCUCAGAGUAACCCAUUUCUCACCCAAAAUUUCUCUCUACCGUGCGUCGGCCAUCUUCACCAUCGUCCACCGCCGACAACCACCUCCACCACCUUCCGUCAGCCCCCACCAAAAUUUCCCCAUCGCCAGCUCCACCUCAGCUGAAGACCAAAAAACAAUACGAAGAUAGAAAACCAAAACACAAAGAAGAAAACGUUUUAUACAGAGAGUCUCAUCUUCCCAGUUCCUAAAGUCCUAUGAAGUAUAAAACCCUUUUGUUGGCACACAGGGUCCGCGACAAAUUUCACCCCCGGUUGUGAUCACCGUCGAGAUAGUUGAAGAGCUUGGAGCGCAAAUUUGUGGCUUGUGGACUCUUCAAACGACAUCGUUUCGAUUUAAAGUCGUUUCAAUCAAUAAAACCUAGCACCAGGAAAAGACACUUUCAUUCUAAAUCCGCCGACUUCCACAGGCUCUUCAGUCCCACGCUGAUUAACGUGUCUUGAAGGUUAUCAUGGGUUCUCAUGAUCCCAAACCACUGGUUAAAGCGGCACUUCGCCUCGGGUCGGAAAAUUACUCUGUCAACACCAACAAGGGUACUCUUUCCGAGCAAUUGGUUUCAAUGAAAGAGGAAAGCAUGAGCAUAUUGAAGGACUUCAUUACCAAAAAUAAUAUUCCUAAUGAUGUCCCUGACGAAGUCAUCGAAAGCUCUUCAGAAGACGAUACUGAAGCCCCUGAGAAGACUCAUGUGAAAUCGAAGAAGACGAAAUUAACCUAAAGUAUUUCUCCUCCCCCCCCACCCCCAUAAACCCCAAAUUCCGUAUGGGAAGCUUUAUUAAUGUGCUAGAACUGUCUUGAGCAAAAUCCUGUAAUACCAAGUAUGUUAUAUGUCAUGCUAGAUGAAGUGCUUAUGUUCUUUCCCAUUUGAUUUCUCUAGUUCUUGAGACUGUAUGUUACAGUUGCUUUGGUCAAACAUAUUUCCUAUGUAAAUUGAAUCUUCUGAAGCCUGGGAAGGUUUGUUUUAGUGA